CAGCCAAUCUUCCUUGUAUAUGAGAAUCACAGGUUGGAACAAUUUGAGGAAACCAUGGAGAUAUAUGGCCAUUGCCAAGGCUAUAAAAACUGAUGACAGAACGAAUCAUAGCAGUGCUAAUGUUGAAAACAAUUGAUGCAUGAAACAUUGUCAGCAGAAACUAUCAGACAGACAAAUUCUGGGAUUUGCAAAUUUGAUUCCAAUGAGUGGCCAUGGUUUUACUCGUGGAAUGCCAAGAACGCAUGGGUUACAAAUUCAAAUAUGUUCAUGUUCAACAUGCAUGGACACGCCUACUUUCAAUCUAAGAAUACUACUGAACUGACAAGAUAUCUGCAAAGUUCAAUAUCAAUGAGAUCAAUAGGGUAUCGAGCUCCGGAUAAAGUGUCCUGUAGCUCAAACCUCAUCAACAAUUUCACUAAAAUGAUUAUGCAUACUUCCAGGGGUGGGUGCUUAUGCUCCACCAGAUGCCUGAUCAUGGAUUUAGUUUCUUUGCUGCUGAAUCCUGCUUGAUUCCAUCACCAGCACACAUAAACUCAAUCCCUUUUCUUGCGAGCUCAAACGUUUCCCUCUUUCCAAGACCUUCAUAUUUGACAAUAAAACAUACAGCCACUAGUGGUUAGAUACAUGAUCUCCCAUCAACAAUGAUGAAAGCUACCUGAUCUAAUUCAUGUCACAAGCACAGCAGAUGUUAUUUAUACUUGCCAAAAGCAGUCGAAGCAAUAUUAUACUCGUUAGGAAGACUGGUGGGAAAAACUCGAUCCAGCAUCAUCAGUGCACAGGACUAGAGUGUUAGGAUACUGGCAUGCAAACCCGACAAGAUAAAAGGCAAAGGAUAGGACAAAGUGAGAAAUUAGACACACAAGAAUUUACGUGGUUCACCCAAUUUGGCUACGUCCACGGACAAG
rnacentral:lncRNA from 1 species